GCGGGCAUGGCGGAAUGGCAGACGCGCUGGAUUUAGGUUCCAGUGCCUUUGGCGUGCAGGUUCAAGUCCUGUUGCCCGCACCA
rnacentral:tRNA from 1 species